UGGAAUCCGGAAACUAAAUCAAGGGUUG
rnacentral:sRNA from 1 species